CUAUGUAGUUCCUAGGCUGCCAUAGAGUUUUGAUUACAAGUAUACAAGGUGAAAAAGGUUGUCAUAAUUAGGAAAAUAUGGCCGGGCAAAGUGGUGUAGUUUUUGGUAACAAUUUUAUUAGAGUAGUUCAACCGCACUUCCCCAUUGCGCCAACUGCAAAAGCAGAUACUUGCAGCAAUUUAGUGAAUGUUUGUUCGAAUUGAACGCCGAUUCCAGAGAAGUUCAUGGCUUUGGAAGAUUGAUGGUUGAGAAGUUCAUGUUGGCAGUUGACACUCACAUGCUUUUAACUUUAGAUUCUAUAAAUUAAGUUUUAUUUUUUUAUUUUGAUGAGGUGUCAUUUUUUGAAUGGUUGUGAGCAAUAGCGACAUAUUGAGGUUGCGUGUAUGUAAGACUUUCUCGGCAAUCUUGUUAGUUCGAUAAAUAGGUUGGAUUGAGCUGUAAAAAUUUUAAUUUUAGUAUAUAAGUAAGUGAAUACAUGUUCAUUCUAA